rfam:Anolis carolinensis chromosome 2, whole genome shotgun sequence.
UCUUAGAGGCCAGAAUAUCUUAUGGGCAGUAGGUCUUAUCUGAUCUCAAAAGUUAAGCAGGGUUACACCUGGGUAGUAGUUGGAAGGGGAACCUUAAGAGAAUACCAGCUGCUGUAGGCU